rfam:Eutrema salsugineum unplaced genomic scaffold scaffold_1, whole genome shotgun sequence.
GGGCAUUUAGUCUAGUGGUAUAAUUCUCGCUUAGGGUGCGAGAGGUCCCAAGUUCAAUUCUUGGAAUGCCCC